rnacentral:misc_RNA from 1 species
AGAGGAUAUUCAUCUGAUUCUGGUACAGCAUAUACUUUCCUAAAUAUUAUGUAUUUACAUUGUUCUAGUUCCCAUUAUGUCCAUUCUGUUCAUGGUUUCAUUGAAACAUUUUCACUUUUCUAACAUUUCCUUCAAACACUAAAUCCAUAUGUUGUGGCUCUGUCACCUUUUAACAUGAGCUUGAAUUAUAAAACAUGAGCCAUGAUGCAAAAAUUCUAGCAUGCUAUUUUGUUGAAAUUUCUGUUAAAGACUUACAUUUGAGAAUCAGUUUUUCUCUUUAGGAAGUCUGAUAAGCAUCUUGUCAUUUUUUUUU